CCUACGGGUGGCAGCAGUGAGGAAUAUUGGUCAAUGGGCGCGAGCCUGACCCAGCCAAGUAGCGUGAAGGAUGACUGCCCUACGGGUUGUAAACUUCUUUUAUAAAGGAAUAAAGUGAGGCACGUGUGCCUUUUUGUAUGUACUUUAUGAAUAAGGAUCGGCUAACUCCGUGCCAGCAGCCGCGGUAAUACGGAGGAUCCGCGCGUUCUCCGGAUUUAUUGGGUUUAACGGGAGCGUAGAUGGGUUGUUAAGUCAGGUGUGAAAGUUUGCGGUUCAACCGUAAAAUUGCAAUUGAGACUGGCAGUCUUGAGUACAGGUGAGGUAGGCGGAAUUCGUGGUGUAGCGGUGAAAUGCUUAGAUAUCACGAAGAACUCCGAUUGCGAAGGCAGCUUACUAAACUGCCACUGACAUUGAUGCUCGAAAGUGUGGGUAGCAAACAGGAUUAGAUACCCGUGUAGUC
rnacentral:rRNA from 1 species